rnacentral:antisense_RNA from 1 species
ACCGACAUCAGGGAUUCGUUCUGCGAGCCGUUACCCACCGCCAGGUAAGAGUGCAUUCCCAGCUCUUUCAUCUGCUGUUCGCCGAUGACGCGGGUAAUCACGUUUUUGCUGUAGGCGUCGGCCAGCUGGCGUGCCUGAGAGGCGAGGUAAGCGGCGUUACAGAUGUUCGGCGGCAUGUUGCCGAGAUCUUUUGC